AGUACAAAGCAAAUGAUGAACUGAGGGCAAAUAAGUUGAACAAAAUCUUAUUUAUCAUCCUCAAUCUGACAAGGAUUAUUCUGACAGUAUGAAAGCCACAGUAGCACUGGUGGUGUUCAUAUGUUAAUUAACUUAUUGACUGAGGUUUGCAGCUGCAUAAAGGGGUGACAGCAUGGACCAUUUUCCUGUGAUGCAGAUCUCAAUACUAUUAUAUAACAACAAUAAUAUUGUUGCAAGUGACUAUACUGCUGGAGGGCUGCCCAUACUGAGUCCAAAUGAUAUUCACAAGCAGGACUCUUAGCGAGUCACUCCAAGCCUAUUUCAGUAUGGAAGAUGCUACUGCUAUUACAUACUAUUACUAAUUCCUGACACAAUUGCUUUUCUAUUAACUGGUAAAAUUGACUGUAGAAGUAUGCCCUUAUUUUAGGAAAAUUAAUAAGAUUUAUGUGGCUAGCCAGGUAUGUAGCACCACCCUGGACAGCUUAUAAACAAUAUAUGUAAAAGCCAGCAUCCUUCAAACCAAUACAACCCUCACAUCCAACAACCAACCUUUCUUGGCUCAGACCACACAGCACCCCAAAGGCUUGUGGAAAAAGCUAUGUCUACAAGGAUUUUCAGAAGACUAACAGGGAGGCACCUGCUAAAUAUCAGAAAGGGGGAUCCAAAUGUAUUUUGUAUUUAUGUAUUCAGUUUACAUCCCACUUUUUUAUUCAAGAGCUCAAGAUGGUGGAUAUGCUGCCUUCUCUUCCUAUUCUUCCCAACAGCCCUGCAAGGCAAGUUAGGAUGGGAGAGAAUGAGUGGGCUACUGGGACACCGCCCUGAGUCUUCGGAGAAGGGCGGUAUAAAAAUACAAAUAAUAAAUAAAUAAAUAAUAAAGGUGGCAUUGGUCUGAGAUGCCAGUUCUGCAUCUUAACCUGUACAUCACACUGGCUCUCAAUGCCUUCUAUUAUGACUUUUGUUUUACAGCCAUUCCAAGAUGGCCAACCCAUUUCUUAUGAAACUAAGCAAGUCAGACUUGACAAGUAUGUACCUAGUUUUCUAUCUCUAGCUAAGGGGUGCUUCACAAAGUGCGGGAGGGCAAGCAGGCCCCCCUUUAAAGGAACUGCAUCUUUACUUCCAUACAAACCUGAAAAAUUAUAUGGCUGCUUUAAAGAGAUGUUUUUUGCCUGUCUUCUGUCACACACUAAUCAUUGUAUCUGAAUCAUCAACAGGCAGAGUACAAAUACCAGCAUGGAGUUGGAAGUUCUACUUCAGUUUUGGAGAGUUCUUAUAGUUCAAGAUGUAUACAAAUCCUUUUCUCAUAAAUACCUCUUGCGAAAGGUGAAAUUUGCCAUUAGGAAUAACAAAACUGUCCAGUUUCUAUGAAAAUGGCAAAAAAUAAAGCUUCUUUGUCAAAAUGAAGUAAAAGCUUGGUCCUAAACCAGCAGUGAAGUCUGGCUGGAUCUAUCCGCCUUGCGCGAACUGGUAGUGCCAGCAGCGGGAGGCUCCAUCCACCUGCCAGGACAUCAUUAUGACCCAUUUCUGACCCUCUGUGCAUGCGCAGAAAAGGCGCUCGCGCUCACAUUUCCGAACUGGUAGCGAAGGUGCUCAAUGUGGACCAAAUAUGCUUGUUCCUGAGCUUCUCGGCUGCUCAGCUUCAACUCGAGAGCUUUCUUCUCUUUUUCUAGUGAGUUUUAAUCCCAGGAGCAGAACUGAGGGUGGGAGGAACUUGAUUCAAUCAUUAUCUGUUGAGAUAUUAAUUUCAGCUUCUCUGCAGCAGAAAACAGCGGUGCCUACACAAGAGCCCUUGUGGUGUCUUCCUAUUCCUUGCAUUUUUUUAUCCAUAUAUACUGUAUAGAAAAUACUGUAAUAUUACUAAAUGUAUUUCAUACUAGAAGAAUGUGAUUGCCCUCUUAUGGGGUUAAGUACAUCAGGAUGCUCCUACUUUUGUUUCUUUUCAGAAUAGACUACAGAUCAAAGCUUAUAGUAUGAUGUUUUUUUAAAGACAGGCAAUAUAAGUGCAAACACAUUCUCCAAUAACUUCAGUGAUUUUGGAUUGUGCCACUUUAAAUAUUUCCUAUUAACGAUUCUCAAUCUGCUUAUAUUGUCUCUGUUCUAGUCACUGCAAUUCAACUGGCUUCCCUUCAAGUGGUAAAGUUUACAGAUUUUAUCUAUACAACAGGGGUUUCCAAUCUUAGCAACUUUAAGACGUGUGGACUUCAACUCCCAGAAUUCUGUGAGUUGAAGUCCACAUGUCUUAACUCCAAUUCAAGCCAAUUAGGUUAAUUCAAUAAAUGUAGCUUGAAAUUGCCUAAGAUUAGCAUACACUGCAAGUGUUUUCCAUCUCUUAGUCAGAAAUAUAGCAAGCUUCUAAAUAAAUCAUCAUGCUCCUAAUCUAAUAUAUCAUAUUGCAUAUAUCAGAGCUAAAUAAUUUCUGUUCAACCUUUAAAAAUCAAUACAAGGUUGCAUUUGUAUCCUAACUAUCAGCAAAGGGUAGAUUCAGAUUUUUAUUCUACUCUGAACUCCAUAGAUUCCUUAACUGAGUCAAAUAAAGAAGAAGAAAGUAUAUUUUCAGCAGAUGUUUUCAACAUGUUUUAUAAAUAUAAAUUCUAAAUAUGGCUUUAAUCGACUCAAAUCCACAUUUUAAAUUUGGAUUAGUCUAUUAACCAAUUAUACCUAUUGCUUGUUAAGGCAGCCUUAUGCUUUUAUGGGAGAGAUGUAAUGGAGACAACUCUAAAUUUAAAAAUAACUUUAAUAAGAUAUAAGAGCUGAACGGAUCUAUAUUUAUAAAACAAAUGUAAAAAAACAUUAGCUACAGUUGCAAAAAAACACAGUGAAGCAAAAUAAUAUUUUGAUCAUAUGACUCUUUCCAUAUUCUAGAGCAUAAAUAUGCUUUGGGAUAUGAAUAUAUUAAGUAUGUUCCUUAAAUUAAUAAGCUUUGCUAUAUUUGUAGCUAAUGUUGACCAAAUGGAAGUGACUAGUAAAUAUGAAGUUUGGAAAUGAUAUCAUUCUGUCCUUAAACUUCAUGAGAGAGCAGAUAGUUGUGGGUAAGUAUGGGUUAGAAGAAAAUAAUUACAAUUUUUGUGAAUGGUCAUGUAUUUAUGAGGGUAUAUUUUAGGAUAUCUAACUAUUUGAGUACACCAAUAUACAGUUGUAAUGCUGUAUCAUUGGAGGUUGGAAUUGUAGAAAGUUUCUGGAGUCAUUUUGCUGAUGGCUGUUUUAGGUUCUUCUACCUAAAUGCUAUCUCAUAUAUCAUGGUACUUAUAAACAAUGUAUACAUUUACUUUCUAGCUAUUUAUUCCACCCUUUUUGCAGCAGUUUUAAGGUGUUUAAAAGGGGAUUUCUCUUCACUUUAUUCACACAACAAACGUGUAAGAUUGUUUGACUGAGAAAGAAUGACUUGCCCUCCACAAGAUGCUAAAGUUGAGAAUCAACUUGAAUUCCAUGAGUGGCACAAAAGUAUUAGAAGACCACUCUUCUAAUAAAUUAAAUUAAAUAUAUCUUGGGCCUGAAGAGUGCAGGGCCUUGCACGUAGAAGACUGGCUUCCUCUUAAUGAAAUGAGAUAAAUCAAUUCUUUUUUAGCAGAAGGAUUAGGUUGUAAUUAGUAUUCUAAUAUUAUAUAUCUAGCAAUAUCCAAGGGAUGGUUGUAAUAAUCUCUAGGAAGAAAUAUUUCAAACAGAUUAAAUAGAAUAUGAACGAGAGAUAAUAUGGAUUAGAAUCCAUAUUUAUCUGACAAAGUAACCUCUAGUCCCUGAAAGUUUAUGCUACAAAUAGACUUUAAUGUCCAGAUACUAUUGUGUUUACAUAUCAAGGAACCCUAACCCUUUCCCUCUAGUGUCUUAUUUUUCCUCAAAGUUCAAUCAAUUGUGCGUCUUAGAAAUAGGCUUUGAGGCUGAGCUUUUGCCUUUAAAACAAUUAUUACUUCUUUAUCCACCAGAGAUGUAUUUCUCUUUUCACAAAGGAGUAGGCAGUCUGACUAGGAGGCUGCAAAUUGAAAUUCUAGCUAUUAAUUUUACUUACCGCCUAGCAAGAGCAGCCUAUGUGCUGCUUUUUCCUGUUUUAUUGCAAAUGCUCCCUUUUAUCGCCUUUAACCUCCUUGUCCCCAGUGGUUGCCUGAGCAUUUGUUCCCAGUAAUGUGCUUGGCAAUCUGACAUUCAGCAGCUCAUUUUUGAUGCCGAAGUUAAGCCCAGGUCAACACUUCAAUUACAAAUCCCGUUUUAAGGGGUCUCAAACAGCAGAAGAAAUUAUUCACAUUGACAUGAAAAGUCUUUUCCAAGGAGAAAGGCUUCCCCAUUUCCUUCACAGACUUUGCAAAAGAAUGAUAUCAAACAUUCGGAAUAUCAUUGUACGCUGUUUGUCACACAGAAUCUAUGAGCUUCAAUCUUUUAUACAGUUCUGUGGUUGCACAGUUCAACCUCUGUAAUUGUACUGUGUUUUAGCAAGAGAUCACCCAGGAUCAUCAAGUACCUAUGGAUGUUGCCAAAGCAUUUCCAAGAAAGGUGCAUAGAUGUAAUAGCUAAAUAAAAUGAUGAUUAAAUCCUCUUACAUUUCCAAGGUCACCAAUCCACAAGGCAAUAAAAUGUUCUCUAGGUGCAGAGAAUUAGCAAAUAAGUUAUAUUUGUAUAUUCAAUUCUAAAUAUCAAACUGAUCCCACAUACUGCAUUAAAUUUUUAACAUCAAAUGGAUUACAUCGAAUGACUUCAUUUAUAUAGUUUACCAAGGAACUUGGAGAAAUCAGAUUCUUACUCACUGAAGUUCUGCGAAGACUUCAUAUAAUACCACUGAAUUAGUAAUAUACAGUGGUGGGAUUCAAGUAAUUUAACAAACGGUUCUCUGCCCUAACGAAUUCUUCCAACAACCAGUUUGCCAAACUGCUCAGAAAGUUAACAACCGGUUCUUCCGAAGUGGUGCGAACUGGCUGAAUCUCACCACUGGUGAUAUAUACUUUACAUUUCAGUGGCAAGAAAUUGAAAAACAAAGAAUUAGCAGAGAAAUUAACAAAAUAAAUGAUAUUGUUUAUGAAAUAGAUUAGAUUUCAAAUACAAUAAAUCUCCACAAAUAUAUAUUUAAAACAGCCUACUAAAAAUUGGAACAGAAUCUAGUAACAGAUUGAGAUCACCCUAUAAUAAUUUAUUAGGAACACCAAUAUUAUUGAACAGGUUGUAGGAGAAUGGCUAGCUAAUGCAAAAAACCCUCCAAAACAACCUCUAAUUCAUUCAGAAAAUCAAAUGACUGGAGAUUAACCAUGCCAAUGUGCCAUAAUU